UACAGAGGGUGCAAACGUUGUUCGGAAUUACUGGGCGUAAAGCGUGUGUAGGCGGCCAUGUAAGUCGGAUGUGAAAGCCCCGGGCUCAACCCGGGAAGUGCACUCGAUACUGCGUGGCUUGAGUACCGGAGAGGUUGGUGGAAUUCUCGGUGUAGAGGUGAAAUUCGUAGAUAUCGAGAGGAACACCGGUGGCGAAGGCGGCCAACUGGACGGAUACUGACGCUGAGACACGAAAGCGUGGGGAGCAAACAGG
rnacentral:rRNA from 1 species